AGAAAUUGAAAAAGAGCAAAAACUGGAAUACCAAUUAGUACUUUCAAAACAUUUAGAAGAGAGAACAUAAGAACAUUCCAUUCUGUCAUCCCCCAGCAAGACUAAAAGGUGAAUUAGGUGACCUUGUUUUAUCUAUUUCAGUGAAGAAUUACAAUGUCAUUAACUAACAUGUAUUUUAUACAUUAUCUUUAAUAUUAUUAACUUUUUAUAUUAUCUAUAUAGAUGGCAAUAAUUAAAAUAGAAAAGGUGCAGCUGGCAUACAAUUAACAAAAGGAGCUCAGCAAAAUAUGUUACUGUGUGGAUUAUGUCAAAACGUAAGUAAUCAUUUGACUAGAUCAAAUAUAAAGAUAAUGUUAGGAGCUAGUUGAUCUACAAGUCAUUCAUUUAAAGACAAAAAUGGGUAAUUAUGCAGCCUUGCCUUUAAAUUAUAACUAAAUGUUGAAGCCACAUAAAUCAAGUUUUCUGAUCCGCAAGAAAACCCCUUAAACAUUGAAUAUUAGUUUUUGUACAAUGUCAAGUGAACAUAACAAAUCCUACAAGGUGAUUGGUCAAAUUUAACCAAUCACCUACAGGUGAAUAUAACAAAAUCGAAAUUUUCAAAUUGGCGGCUAACCAUUUUAUUGACAUUAGUGAUAAAUAAAGAAAUAAGCGAAAUUAAAAGGAAUUCAGAUCAGAAAAACACAAAAAACUUGUGCCAAAAUACUAAAACAAUUAUUCGCCUUGGGCUUGGUGAUUAUAGGGGAAUAUUCACCUAAUUGACUUCGUCUCUGCGAAUAUCCCCCAAUAAUCAACUCGCCUUCGGGCAAAUAAUUGUUAAAUAUUUGGUGAUAAUACAUGGUUGUCAAAACUACAAACAACGUUUUCUGUUGCUCAAACUGAACAAUCAAACUGAGCAGCCAUAAAUAAUAAAUCCUAUCGCAUCUACAUAUUAAUACAGUACCGGUACAUUACACUGGCAUUAUAUACCUAUAGUAUACUGUAUGUUUGUGAAUUUGCACUUUAAAAGUUCGAUAACUACAUCAAUUGGCUCUGUUACUCUAUAACAUUCUACUGAGUAUUGGUUUAAAAGAGUUAAUGCACUGGAAUCACAGGGCUAUGAUUUCUGCCAGAAUUGGCUUACAAUUCUAUUUUUUGCAUCUGCUUUUCAGCUCAAUUAUUCAGCCAGUCUAAAAUUGUUUAAAAAUCUAUACUUGAAGUUUUCAACUUGAAAUAACCUUUCAAGGUAUUUUUUAGACAAUACCUAAUACCAAUUAAUUGAAAUUAAAGUUUAUGUUAAUGAGUUUUAUAAAUUGGCUAUAUAAAAUAAUUUAGUGCUAAUUUAUAGUUUUAGUGCUAAUUUAUAGUGUUAUGCCAAGAGUAUCAUAAUUACAUACUUAUAUGCACUGUAAAUUCCAUGGUAUGUACUCAGUACAACAAGCCAAAUAUUAUGGUUACAACUUGAAUUGAAAUUCUGACUAGCUUUAUUAUAGUAACAGACAUUUACAAGCUUACUGUAUUAUGGUUUGUGAGCAGGCAGGCAGUCGUACAUAUUUACAUUUGUGAGGCUUUCUCCUAAUAAUGGUUAAUUAUUCAAUAAUUACAGUACCAUUACUGGUCCAUUUUACACACAUGUGUAACUUCUAUUGGAAUUCACAUAGUGUGCAUAACUUCUUCCCAUUACUUUGUGUGUGUCAAGAUCCUUCUUGCAGAUUGCUUGAAAGCUUUUCUUUGUAUUCUCUGAUUGGUUUUUAAUACGUACCCUAUCUUCUUCUGAUCGUUCGAAUGAGUUAGGAAGUGCUGCUUAUACCCUAAUUGAAAGCUUGUCUUUGUAUUUUUAUUAUUCUAUCUCGUACCAUGGUCUGAUUAGUAACCUGCUGUUUAUGACCUGUAUUAAUACAACAUAAAAUUUUCUUGCAUGUUGCAUACUGUACAGGCUGGUACUCGGUAUAUGUGUUAAUGUAUUGCCCCAUUUGCAAAUGUGGACUGUGAAAUUUCCAGAACACGAGGUGGCCAUUCCUGUUGAUAAUGUGGUUCAGCUUGUGUCUCUUCCCUGUUGGCUUUUGCAUGUUGCAUACUGUACAGGCUGGUACUCUGUAUAUGUGUUAAUUAAUGUAUUGCCCCAUUUGCAAACGUGGACUGUGAAAUUUCCAGAACAUGAGGUGGCCAUUCCUGUUGAUAAUGUGAUUCAGCUUGUGUCUCUUCCCUGUUGGCUUUGGUGUAUAAAUAUCAAUAUAAUAAAGUAAGUCAAAUAAAGUUCUGAACAUUACCCCUUCGGUAUUGCUUCUGACGUAUUCGAUGACGAAGACGCCACGGUCAUUUUUCUUGGGCGUGCCCUACCACACUGUUUGAAAAGUAUCCCUUUAACUGUGGCCUUGCGCUUCUAUAAAUAUCAGAAACAAAGAAUUAUUUUAAGUUAUUUACUGUAGGGGAUAUCCGAUAAUUACUGCAUGAGGGGUUUUCAGCCCGGCCUGAAUUUCAGUUAUUGGUAUACGCUCGUUUUGCGAUGUUUACCAGUGAGUGCUGUUUUUGGUAGGACCAUCUGAACGACGAGUUCUCGUAAUUCAUUGAACUUUUUUUUGCUCCUUAUGUCCUCCAGAUGAUCGGCAAGUUCCAGGAGCUGGACUACCUCCGGACAUCACUAAAAAAUACUUUUGUUAUGUGCAAAUAGACUGAAUGACAUACACGUUAUAAACUGAGAUUCCUUCGUAUAUAUCGAGCCACUCGUUGAAAAACUCGAAUGGGGAGUCAUCUGAACAAUAUAUGUCACUUACAUCUUUAUGUUUCUGCUUUUGCCCAAUGUUUUCUGGACAAUGGUGUCGCUUAUUCACUCAUUGCUGUCGAGUGUUGCAAUAUCCGUGUUGAAGACGGAGAUUCCUGCCGGACCGACCGGCCAAAUCGUUGGCGGACAACUUAUUCGCUUAAAAAUCAACUGAUAAAUUACUAAUUAAGUAACUUAAGUACAGUUACAUACAAACACAGAUGAAAACGAAACUUCAUAUAGCAGAUUUAUUUAUAAUUCUUGUUAUUUCUUAUUUUGUUACCGAACAAAAAGGUAUAUUCUGCGGCCAAUAGAUUAGUUUGUUGGCCUUAUCUUGCCUCAAGUAUUUCAUUUUUUUUGUCCCUGCAAAAAGAGAUUUGAAGCAUAAAGUUUCACACAACUGCAUGGAAUCACCAUUACGCCAUAUGAUUUACAAAUGCAACGCUUGUCUCACUGGUGCGAUUCCAUUCAUUGCAACAAAUGAUUGCUUACCUCCUCCAUGUAAUCCUUACAAGCCAACACAAUUUUCACCAGUUCCUUCUUAUUGAGAAUAUUUUUUCCUUGUUCUCUUUUUGUUACCGAACAAAAAGGUAUAUUCUGCGGCCAAUACAUUGGUUUGUUGGCUUCAUCUUGCCACAAGUAUCUCAUUUUUUGGCCAGGUCUUCUACUGGCAGUGUGCUUCCUAUAUGGUUAAAAAAAGGUUAUAUAAUUAUAGAUGCUACAGCAACACGUCUAUUGUGCAUGGUGUCGCUCACCCACACGUUUUGGUCGAGUGUUGCCAAUUAAAUCGGUUUCGUAGACGGAGAUGCCAUUCCUGCAGCCAUUAGGGAAUGGAUGAUAUGGUUGCAGCUGUACUUCGCCGUUGGCUUCUGUGCAGAAAUAUCUAUGUAAUAAUAAAGUCAGUCAAAUUAGUCUGAAUAUGCAUUACCCCUUGGUGUUGCGUCGGACGGUAUUCGAUCAAAUAGACACCACAGUCGUUGCAGUCUGUCUGGCAACCUGUGAUUUAAGGUUACAGAACACCUUUGAGUGUUAAUUUUGCCUAAAAAUUUUUUAUUGGUUUCCAUGAAAGCAUUAGACUAGUUCUACUAUCUGACCAAGUUUGAACGGAAAAUGUUGAAAACUCGCAGAGUUAUUUAAUAAAAUACAUUUCGCUGCAAUAAGAAAAACAUUGAAAAUGUAAUAUUCAAAUUCAAUUUUCUCCCGAAACAUUUUACGGUAAUUACUGAUUUUCAAACGAGUUAUGCUCUCGCGGGUUUUAACCAAUUUUUCUCAAAUUUUCACAGGACAUAGCUAAAGACGUCAGUUUCAAAAUUGUGUUCGACUUUUUUUUAAUUUUGGAUAUUUUAAAAAUAAAGAGCAAUUUACUAAAACAAUUCAGAAAUAUAUUGCAGUCGUCAAAGAAAUCGCCAUAUCAGCGGAAUGACGAAAUAAACAAAAAUUUCCGAACACAAUUUUUUAGAACAACUAUUUUACUGUAUAAAAAUGAUAUUUUCAUAAAUAUAACUUAAAACCAGCAGGAACAUAACUCAAAAGCGUAACGGGACCGCGAUUUAAGAUUUUCCUGAGUAAUUCUUACAUUAUUUCAUUGUUUGUUAAUUUUACAACUUCACCAUAUUUUGCAUGCACUGGAGAACAUUUGGGAAAAUUUGAUGAAAAUCGGACUGAUAUUGAGCGCGCAGUAGCGAUUUUCCGCAAAACGCAAAAAAAGGUGUCCUGUAACCUUAAAAAGGCAGAACAUUUAUUUAGCUUCAGAAUGAGAGUCCAGGAAUUUAGCCAAAUUAAUAUUUUUGAGAAUCCUAGUCAAUCUUUUAUCCGAUGUGGAAUAUGGAAAGAUCGCAUGGUUCCAGCUAUUGUGUUGGUUUACUGCCGCCCUAAAUUCCCUCCCCCGCACCUACAGUAUAUUGGCAGCCCGCACGUUGUAGAAACCAUGUCUCACGAUAAAUAAUUUAAAGUACACAAGAAUGAGCCAGCAGUAGCUCAUUGCAUGAUAAAUAGUUUUUCCUGAACAUUUCCCCUUCUGUAAUGCUUGUCGCGAAUUCUAUUACGAAGACACUAUAAUACCCUGUAUAUUGACCUUUUUGGGGUGUCCAUCUUGAUUAGUUGGGCCAAAAAGUGGUAAAGACCGCUAUUAUAUAAUAUACCCAACUAAAAUGUAUUCAUCACUACACCUAUAAUAUACAUAGCAACUACAAGUACAUGUAGCUGGGGUACUUAUACCGUAUAGUCAACAUAAAAUUGUCUCACCAAAGUUCGGUAUAAAUUAUACAAUAUAAACUUAGUAUUAUAGUACCAACUGUUGGAAGCCACUCGGGAAUGGGUGGUAUUUUCCGUUGGCUUGUGUGCAGAGAUAUUUAUAUAAUCAAGUCAGUGAUAUAUAUACUGAUUAAUAAAAUAAUGAAUCGUAACUUUGUACAGUCUACAUUGUUCUUUAUUGCAUGGCAUGAAUAUUUGAGGUAGAACGUUAUGGUAACUUAGUUCAGCAACACGUCGACGAUGGUGUCGCUCACCCACUGGUUUUCGCCGAGUGUUGUCAUGUCGGUGUUGUAAACGGCGUAUCCUCCGUAACGAGACACUCUGUCCAAUCACACAGAUAUAGAUACAUGUCAAUGGCAGCUUGAUAAUAUAAAUAACUGUAAUAUACUGGUGGGAUGUAAUCGGGCAUUGAAAAAGCCCAAAUGGGGAAGUGAUCUGAAUAAUAUAUAAUUAUACAUCUCUAUGUUUCUGCUUUCACUUGAGGUUUUACGGAAUAAAAUGUACAGUCAUGCUUAAAAGGGCUAAGACUGGUCCAUCCCUUAAUAAUAUAUUCAACUUUUGAUUAAAAUAUGAAAGUUAGUCUCUGUAUUUGCUGUUAUAAAUACUUGUAUGACGUUAUGGUUACUUAGCAACACGUCGACAAUGGUGUCGCUCACCCAUUCAUUCUCGCCGAGUGUUCCAAAUCUUUGUUAUAACUGAUAUGCCCCGUAACUGCAACUGAUAAAAUUAAUACUUCGCACAAAAUAUUAAGCCAUCUUUUUCACCUAGAAGAUAUUGAAAUUUAGCAUUAAUAUAGAAUAUAUAAAAGUAUGUAUACCUAGUAUGAUCAAGUAAGUUACCUAUUCGUGCCGAUGGCGAACAGAACGGCAUCUCGUUGUAAACGCAACUGCAUUUGUUUUUAAGAGCUUACUUUCCAAUGACGGUGUUCAUUUUUGUGAUCAAAAACACUUCAGCCACUUCAGUGGAAGUUACAAUCGGCUAAAACUCUAACACAACCUCACGCAAUCACUCGCUACCUUUUACCUUCUUGGACCCUCAUGCAAACAUGACCACCCUUAUAGUAGCCGUUUGACUAUUAACUUCUCAAAGGACCAAUCAAGGUGGUUGUAUCUGCAGCUACGUACUACUCUGCAUUGAUACCUGCUGGUAGCACGAGUUUUCGUUCAAGUGUACGUAUUUCUUUGCACGUCGUAUAUUUGCCUGCUUUGGCCAGGUCUUCUACUGGCACUGUGCUUCCUAUAUGGGUAAAUAUUGUGAUAUAAAAGGCUAAAGGCCUAGUUAACAAAAUUAAUGCUAAAUUUGAGCACCUUGUUCUCUUUUCGUCACAGAACAGAAAGGUAUAUAUUCUCUGGCCAAAAGAUUGGUUUGUUGGCCUCCAUCUCCCAGAAGAAUUUCAUUUUUUUCGUCCCUGCAAAAAGAGAUUGAAGCAUAAAGUUUUACAAAAUUGUAUUGUUGUGGAUUUUACUUUUUUUUUUCAAGAUUUUACUUUAUUUUUUUCAUCCUUGCAAGCCAACACAAUUUUUACUAGUUCUUUUUUAUUAAGAAUAUUUUUUGCUGGAAGAUGUUAAAAUUAUUAGGCAUCGAUAAUGUACAUAAAUGUGAUAUUUUUUUUCCUGCAUAAUUUAUCAUAACAAAAUCCUGAACAAAAUUAAUGGUAAAUUUGAGCACCUUGUUCUCCUUUCGUUACAGAACAAAAAGGUAUAUCCUGCGGCCAAUAGCUUGGUUUGUUGGCCUCUUCUUGCCACAAGUAUUUUAUUUUUUGGCCAGGUCUUCUACUGGCACUGUGCUUCCUAUAUGGUUGAAAAUUGUUGUAUAAAAAGCUUUUAAAGGCCUAGUUUGGCCUAACUGCUAGAACAAGUUUUUACACUAGUGUGUGUAAUUCUUGACAAGUCAAUUUGGUUGGAUCUUCAAUUACAGGCACUGUUUCCUUCCGCUUUGCGACGUUUCCUUUGGUAAAAUGAUUGUUUGAUUUUCAUAAUUAGCUUGAAAUCUUGUAGACUUGUACCAGUGGCUUUGUCUUCAAAAACCAAUGCCAUGAAAAAAUAAAACUAAAAAUAGAAGAUACGGUAUACAUUGAAAAAAAAAAUUAGGAUGAGGUCGGGCAGAUUUUUGGCCGCCGCUUGCGUUCGCUUGACCCGGUAAAUUCUUCUUUUUUGUGCGGUGGCCAUCUUUAGUUGGGACAAAAAGUGGUGAAGACCGUAUUUUGGUCCUCGUUGGAACUGACAAUGAUGACCUCUUUCAUUUGGUCCUCAUCGGAACUGAUAAUGAUGACCUCCUUUUGGUCCUCGUUGGAACUGUUAUAAUGAUGACCUUUUUCUUUUGGUCUUCAUCGGAACUAGUACUCAGUUCAGCCAUAUAAUAAACCGAUUAUUGACCUCGCUUGUUCGGUGAAAUAUCAGACCUCUGUUUUUUUGCAUGGACCUCGCACCUUCGUCGCUCAGUCCAUGGUAAAAAAACUAAAACUGUCUGUACCAGUGUGGGUAGUACCAAUGUAGAAAUGCUGUGCUGAGUGGUUAUAUUACUACCUUAAAAAAUAAGCAGAAAGUCGACGUUUCGAGCGAAGGCCCUUCGUCAAGAGUUACUAACUCUUGACGAAGGGCCUUCGCUCGAAACGUCGAGUUUCUGCUUAUUUUUCUAAGGUAGUAAUAUAGCCACUCAGCACAGCUUGGUAAAAAACCUCUGUCUGAUAUUUCAGUUGGCUAGUUGUAGGGUAACCCACGUAAACACUCGCUAGUUUUUUACUCUCUUGAACCAUGCAUGCAAACAGGCUUAGGCCUUUAUAGUAGCCGUUUGCUUACGAACUUGCCCGAAAGGACCUUCGUCCUUCAAGGUGGUUGUAUCUGCUCCUACGUACCACUCCUGCAUUAUCAUGCAAAAUGUUAACACUGUUUAUACUUGCUGGUAACACCAGUUUUCGUACCAGCGUACGCAAUUCCCUGCACGUAUAUUGGCCUGCUUUGGCCAAGUCUUUAGCGUCUUUUACUGGCACUGUUCUUCCUAUAUGGUGCAAAUUGUGAUAUGUAGACUGCAUAUUAUUUCAUAUAUGGAUCUCUUGGAACAAAGGUGUCAUUCAAAAGCUGAGGCCCUUGAUAUACAAAAAUUGAUUAUGAAUAUAUAAGAAAUGCAUAUACAAGAAAAACCUUGCUUUUUGGGACUUUUUUGUAUUUAAGCACUUUGGUUGGUGAGCAAUAUGGAACAUUUUCCGGCCAAUAGAUUGGUCGAUUACAAAUAUUUUACUUUUUUGCAGAAAAACAGAUUGAAGCAUAAAGUUUUACAAAAUUAUAUUAUUACACCUUGAUCUCUCCUUGUCACGGAAGGAAAAAGCCAAUAUAUUAAUUGGAUUAUUACCCUUGCCUUGCCAUAGAUAUUUAAUAUUUUUCUACCCUACAAAAAGAGAUUGAAGCAAUGUUUCUGAAAUUAAAAAAGAUAGUAAUGCCAUGCAGAAGAGUUAGAUUAAAAUGAAAGCUAAUUGUUUUUGUAUUUUUUUUUAUAAUUUUACCUCCUCCUUUUGGUCUUUAUCGGAACUUAUAAUGAUGACCUCUUUCUUCUGGUUCUCAUCGAAAGUGAUAAUGAUCACCUUAUUCUUUUUGUCUCCAUUACCCCCAGACGUUUAAGGGUCCCUGAAACCUUUUUCAAAACCCUAUUUCAAACCUGAACGAUGCCACCAAAGGUUUGGUCCUCUUUCUCCCUAUAAAAGAAGACAACGUUGAAAUUGUAUUGGUUUGGCUUAUUUCUGUGCCCAAUGUUCGAAAACCCCUAUUUCAAAGCCCGAAUGAUGCUACGAGUCUUUUUAGUUCAGGUCGUCUCUUCUUUACUUCACUUGUGUGUACUAGGUGUGGCCCGAUUUUUCCCUGUGAGAGAAAACAACAGUAUAGCCAAUUUACAGACAAGCAAAUCGUCUUAUACCAGGUGUACAUGGUCCUGUUCUCCCUGUAAAAGAAGACAACAUUGAAAUUGUAUUGGUUUGGCUUAUUUCUGUGCCCAGUGUCUCCAAAAACCCUAUUUCAAACCCCGAAUGAAGCUACCAGGCUCUUUAAUUCUGGGCAUCGCUUCUCGACCUUUCUUGUUAGUACUAGGUGUGGUCCUACUUCUCCCUGUAAUAGAAGAGAACAGUAUAGUCAAUUUACAGACGAGCAAAUCGUCUUAUACCAGAUGUGCAUGGUCCUGUUUCUCUCUGUAAAAGAAGACAACAUUGAAAUUGUAUUAAUUGGUUUGGCUUACUUCUGUGCCCAAUUUUUCGAAAAAAACUUACUUCAAAGCCCGAACGAUGCCACCAGACUCUUCAGGACCGGUUUUUGCCUUUUCAUUUCUUUGGUAACCACAUGGUUUGGUCGUAUUUCUCCCUGCAUUCAUUUUUAUGUCCUCCAGUUGAUUGUAAUUAAUCUCCAAUUGCGGUACCUCGAGAUUUUCGCUGUCUUCUUUAUGUAUAGCAUCGUAUUAAAAAUUACUUGCGUUCUGUGUGAAUAAACUGAAUAACCUAUACACACUAAUAGCAUUUUGAAGUCAUUAAACAUUACUUGAGUGCUCUUCACUUUUUUUUUCAUUUUAAUUCUUGUCUCGCCAACGCGACUACAACAGUUCCUACAAUGAAUGUUAUGUAUACAAUAAAUAUAUAAAUCUGCAGGCAUGCAUGUUAUUCAAGUGCUUCUAAAGGUAUAAACUAUGUUUUUUUGCUGAUACAUCCUAUGUACCUAGUAUAUAUUUCCUUCAACGAUAACUAUUGAUUAGUGAUACAUUUUAGUGUAAAAAUUCAGAAUAUUUUUGAGCUAAUCGUUAACAUUAUUAUUUUCAAAUCGAUACCGCAGGGGGUAAUUGAGUAUGCCAAGCAUUUAAAUUUAAAUCGCACAAUGUGUUUGGGUUACCUAUGCCAUAACGUCUCAAUUUAACCACUUUAACCUACGCUACAUAUAUCGAUUCCAACAUCAAAUCCAUCAGUGUAGUGGUAAAUCGUGUUGUUUAGUUCUUGCAAUGCCCCGCGCAAUUCUUGAUCAUCCGAGGUAGUUAUAUUUUCAUUUGGCCCGCGGUUUACCGUUUCUUGUUCGACGAAAUCCAGAUACGCCAUCAUUAUUUUUAUUAGUUCUUUUUUCUCUUUUAAGGUCUUUUCUCCUUUUGUGGACGUUAGCCCGCAAAACGGCACAUCCUCCGGCCAUUAUAUUGGCCGGUUUCCCGGCUCGGACCAGCAAUAUCUGGCUUUCUUCUUCCCUUCUGGUACUACGAGUUUUCGGAUCAUCAAUGGGUGGUACUGGUUGACUUCCCCGUUGGCUUGUGUGCAGAAAUAUCUAGAUAAUAAAGUCAGUGAUAUAUACUGAUUGAUAAAAUAAUGAAUUGGAACAGUGCAUUUAUGUUGACAUCUCCAGUGCAUCUAUUUUGACAGCUCCCCCCUCAAACUUCCCCCCAGAAACCAUGUUUGACUUCAUGCAGUAAUGUACACUACUUGAUUUCUUAAUAUAUUAAGACUCUGAAUGCUAACCUGCCGUUUGGAUUUUGCCGUGGCCAUCAACAUAAACAAGGACCAGGCCCCCUAUCCCUGGUCUUUUUGAGAGUGCAUCGACCUAAAAAUUACAUAUUUAAAAAGAUACCUUUAUUGGUAUAGAGCGUUUGCGCUCAUUUCCAAAGGAUCAACUCAACAAAAGACACAAAAGCCAUGGCGGCCAUGAAGACUGAAGUGUAACCGCCGCCACGCCAUGACUCGAAAUGCUGUCGCCAUUGAUGACAGCAUUUGAACGGUUAUAGAAAAAUCCGACGGGCAAAACAGCGCCUUGGCAAAACCAAGAAUUCGACUGGCUAUCUAUUAUUUCUAUGGUGUUGCCAUGCCUGUGUUGUAUACAGAGAUUCCUCCGUAUCGAGCCAUUGGGGAAUGGUAUAGUUGCAGCUGUCCUUUUAAGUGGAAUGGAAAAAAUAAAACUAAAAAUAGAAAAUAUACAUCGAAAAGAAUUUGAGUUGAGGUCGGGCAGAUCUUGGGCCGCCGCCCUAAUUUCCCUCCCGCACACCUAUGUUGUCAGCCCCAGUAAUCCAUUUCUGUGUAAGAUGUUAUCCUAAUCCGUUCCACCGGUUUCCCGCAGCUACAGAAAAUGAUUUGUCACCGUAUAACUUUUCGUACAUGAUUUUGAAAUAACCAAGAGAUUCAGACAAUCUUGAAUUACGUGAAGGCGUGCAUUGAUUUAAUAGUUAACUAGUAUAAUAUAGACAGUACGUGCCUGGCCGUGUAUAUAAGGUUUUUAAUCGAUGUCUACUGUAUAUACGCUGUAGGUUGAAAAAUGAAACUUUAGACAAUUGUGACUGGGUACAACAGUAAACUUACAUUAUAUACUCCGUUACAUAACAACAACUGUUGGAAAUUACUAGGAAACGGAUUGUUGGCUUGUGUGCAGAAUUAUCUAGAAUUAUAAUAAAGUCAGUGAUAUAUACCACAGUUUUACUGUAUACACUGAUUGAUAAAAUAAUGAAUCGUAACUAUAGUACAGUAUGAUUAAUGCGAGGUGAUUGUUCUUUGUUGCCAUGGAAUGAAUAUUUAAUGUAGAACGUUAUGGUAAUUUACUUCAUGGCAUGGUAUUAAAUUCUUGUUAUAACCUGAUGUUUCCAAUAUAUGUACCGUACCCAUUCAAGUACAACAACACAAUUGGGCCCGCCAUCUCGUGCCCAGACAACGUGUUUACCUAAAAAUGAAAUACAUUAAUACUUGGCACAAAAUAUUUCGCCAGUAAGAGAGUAAAGAGACCUCGCAACGGUUUCAUCAACCAUCUUUUGUUUCGUUAUAUGCAUUUGUUUGCCUAUACGCUGUAGAUUGAAAAAUGAAACAUUAGAUAAUUAUGAAUGCAUGGGUACCAUAAAAAAACUUUCAUUACUCCGUUACAUAACAACAACUGUUGGAAAUUAUUAGAAAAUGGGUGAAAAAGCUUCCCCGUUGCUGUUGGCUUCUGUUCAGAAAUAUCUAUAUAAUAAAGUCGGUGAUACACUGAUUGAUAAAAUAAUGAAUCCGUACCUUUGUAAAGUCUAUAGUACAGUACGAUGAAUACAUGAUUGCUCUUUAUUGCAUGGCAUGAAUAUUUGAUGUAUAGAACAUUACGGUAGCUUACCUCGGCAACAAAGGUGUCGCUCAUUCAAGGAGGGUAUUGAUUCACUAGUAUAAUGUGGACAGGUGCCUGCCUAUGUCUACUGUUUAUACACUGUAUAGGUUGAAUUAUACACUGUAGGUUGAAUUGUUUUAUAGAAAUUGUGUACAUGCAAUAAUAAACUCACGUUACUCCGUUGUUUAAUAAUAAUUGUUGAAAGCCAUUCGGGAAUGGGUGGUACUGGCUGGCUUCCCCUUUGGCUUGUGUGCAGAAAUACCUAUAUAAUAAAGUCAGUGAUAUUUACUGAUUGAUAAAAUAAUGAAUUAUAACUUUGUCCAUAUUGUUCUUUAUUGCAUGGCAUGACUAUAUUUGAUGUAGAACAUUAUGGUAGCUUACCUCAGCAACAAUGGUGUCGCUCAUUAUGUGAAGUAGGGUAUUGAUUCACUAGUAUAUAAGAUGGCAGGUGCCUGCCUAUACAUGGCUGGCCGUAUAUAAGGCCUUAAAUCAAUGUUUACUGUUUUAAACGCUGUAGGUUGAAAAAUGAAAUUUUUAUAGAAAUUGUGUACAAUAAUAAACUUGCAUCUCUCCGUUGCAUAGCAACAACUGUUGAAUAUCUGGCUUUCUUCUUCCCUUCUGGUAUUACCACUUUCCGGAUCAUAGUUCGUAGUUGAACACACGUGAUUUUUUCAUUCUUUUUUUUAAUGUUUUUUACGUCCACUGUGCUUCUUCUUGCUCGGCCGUCGUCCAUAUAACAACAACUGUUGGAACCCAUUCGGGAAUGGAUGGUAGUUGGCGUUGGCUUGUGUGCAGAAAUAUUUAUAUAAUAAAGUUAGUGAUAUAUAAAUCUUCUUGUUUCCACCCAGAAAACCACCGCCUGUACCCCUGAAGGUUUCUCCUUGUCGUGUAGACUGACUUCCAUCUGGCAUCUCGAUUUUCCCAUCUCUCAGUCGGUCCUUUUUAAGCGUGGCAGCGGUAGCUUGGCGCUUUUGCCGUCGUUUUAUGCGGCGUCGUGCAUUUCUGUUCUGUUGUUGUUAUGGUAACUUACCUCUGCAACAAUGGUGUCGCUCAUGUGAAGGAGGGUAUUGAUUCACUAGUAUAUAUAAUAUGGAUAGGUGCCUGCCUACAUGGCUGGCCGUAUAUAAAGCCUUAAAUCAAUGUUUACUGUUUUAAACGCUGUAGGUUGAAAAAAGAAAUUUUUAUACAAAUUGUGUACAAUAAUAAACUUACAUCUCUCCGUUGCACAGCAACGACUGUUGGAACCCAUUCGGGAAUGGAUGGUAGUUCCCGUUGGCGUUGGCUUGUGUGCAGAAAUAUGUAUAUAAUAAAGUCAGUGAUAUAUACUGAUUGAUAAAAUAAUGCAUUAUAAAUUUGUCCAUAUUGUUCUUUAUUGCAUGGCAUGAAUAUUUGAUGUAGAACGUAUGGUAUCUUAUUUAUUACGAGUGUUGCCAUGUCCGUAUUGUACACGGUGUAUCCACCGUAACGAGAGACUCUGUCAAAUCACACAUAUAUAGAUACAUGUCAAUGGUAGCUUGGUAAUAUAAAUAACUGUAAUACUUGAUGUAAAUCGGUCAUCGAAAUGCCCCCAAUUGGGAGUUAAUUUGCUUUCACCCGAGGUUUUCUGGAAUAAAAUGGAUAUAGUAAUGCUGAAAGCAUGUAUUUGUUAUUGUUUUAACAUUUUUACUUCUUUUUCCUUGUCCUCAUCCUCUUAAUAUAACAUCCUAAAAACAAGCGAAGUGCGAUGUAUAAACAAUAAAAUGACAUGCAGUAACGCCGAAACAGGACUACAAUUAUUCUAUAAUUAAAAUUUAUCUUUUGUUUUGGUAUUUGUUAUUUCGGAACAGAACAGCAUAUCCUUGUAAAUGCAACUACAACGGUUGUUUUUAGGUGAUUCUGACAAAGGAUUAUUUACUUCUUCAACGAAAUCCGCAUAUUAAAAUUAUUAUAGGCAUCGACAAUGUAUAUAAAUGUGACUCCUACAUAAUUUGUCACAACAAAAUCCUAAAUAAAAUUAAUGCCAAAUUUGAGCACCUUGACCUGUUUUGUCAAGUUACAAAAGGGAAUAGCUUCUGGCCAAUAUAUAUUGGCCGGUUUGCCGGCUCUGACCAGCAAUAUUUCGCUUUCUUCACCCGCUUCAGGUAUAAGAAUAUACAAACAUACAAAUACUAACAGUAUAUAUACAUACAUUUAUAUUACGAUCUUUAUGGGUAGAGGUACCAUACCAAGUAAAUUAGGUAACCCUGUAAGAAGGACUAUGAUUUUGCCGUUAGACAAUUACCCUAUCAUGUUUCAUUCGCCAAUAACACACAAAGUAAAAAGACCACAGCAUUGAAAAGCCCGAUACAUAAAAUUAUACAACUUGCCUCUAAAACUUCGUGUUUAGACGCCAUUUUCGAAUACUUAGCGAUCACCCUACCUAGGCUGACCACGGACCCAUCGGAACUGUUAAUUACCGUUACCUGUUCUGUAAAAUCACCAUGCGCCAAUAGAAUUUUCACCAGUUCUUUUUUAUUUAUAACAUUUUUUCCUGGAAGAUAUUAAAAUUAUUAGGCAUCGAUAAUGUAUAUAAAUGCGACUCCUACAUAAAUUGUCACAACAAAAUCCUAAAUAAAAUUAAUGCCAAAUUUGAGCACCUUCUUUCGCGGUUUCGUGGAUCUUUUGGUCCUCAUCGGAUAAAAGCUAUUACUCCGUUACACAACAAUUGUUGGAAGCCAUAGGAAAAAGGAUGGUAUUGCGCAGAUGUCCUGUUAAGUUGCAAAAUAGUGUACGUUUUACAAGUACAAAAUCAAAGCUUGUCUUGUAUUUGUUAUUGUUUUCCUAUUUUUUAUCUUUCUCUGUUGGUCCUCGUCAACUUAUCACUAUGAUCUCCCUUUCCUUCUCUUCUUUGACAUGCUAUAUAUAGUUUUGCAAUAAAGUGAAUGUUUGUAUUUGUUAUUGGAUCUAGCAAGUAAUUCGACAUUUAUCAGUAAAAAUUGAAAGCUCGCUUCAGUGUAUUUGUUAUUGUUUUUUUAUCAUUUUACCUCUCUUUCUUUCUUCUCUUCUUUAACAUGCUAUGUACAUCUCCAAUAUAUAUAUUGUUGGUCUUCAUCGGAACUGAUGAUGACCUCUUUCAAAAUGGUCUUCAUCGGAAUUGUUAAUGAUGACGUCGUUUUUUGGUCCUCAUCGGAACUGUUAAAGAUCUUUUGCUCCUCAUCGGAUAAAACUUAUCACUCCGUUACACAACAAUAAUUGUUGGAAGACAUUGGGAAAAUGAUGCAUCGUAUUGUGCAGAUGUCCUGUUGGCUUGUGUGCAGAAAUAUUUAUAAAAUAUAGUCGGUGAUAUAUACUGAUGGUAAAAUAAUGAAUCGCAACUUUGUAAAGUCUGUAAUACAGUAUGGUGAAUGCGAGGUGAUUGUUCUUUAUUGCAUGGUAUGAAUAUUUGACGUAAAACGUUACGGACCUCGGGUGUCGCUCAUGCACCCACUGGUUUUCGUCGAGUGUUGCCAUGUCUGUGUUGUCUGAGAUUUCUCCGUAUCGGGCCACAGGCCACUCUUAUCAAAUAACAUAGAUAUAGAUACAUGUCAAUGGUAGCUUGGUAAAAUAUAUAUAUAUAUAUUGGUCUUCAUCGGAACUUAUAAUGAUGACCUCUUUCUUUUUGCCUUUAUCGGAACUGAAAAUGAUGACCUCUUUCUUACUGUUGGUCCUGAUCGGAACUGUUAAUGAUGACCUCAUUCUUUUGUCCUCAUCUCAUCGCUAAUGUAGAAUUCCACCUUACAAUAGAACAGAACAUAUUACCCGUUAAGCUGCAAUGUUUGUCUCAAAGUUGCAAAAUAAUAAACGUGUGUACUAUUGCAUUUCUCGAUAUAUAUUCCAAGGGAGCAUUCAUAAUUUACCAAGAGGUAUCAGAGAGCUAUGAUGAUUUUCCGACUUCUUUUUAACUCGUUCCCAUUCAAAUCCCCCUUGUUCAUUGAAAAUUAUAUAAUAGAUAUUUUACCAUGGAAUUUAUAUGUACUGCAUGCAUAUACAUCACGGGAAAGGACAUGUUGGUACCAAAUUAUUUUAGAUACGAAACAUCUCGACUAAAAUAAUUUCAAUUACUAGCAUUUUCUCCUUCAUUCACUCUAAUUUUUGUACAUUUUCGGACCAGGAGCAGGUAUCGAUCCUGCAGUCCUACUGAUUCCAUCGCAGCGCUCUGACCAAUCUAGUGAACUGUUUGAGUCUAGUUGUCGAGCUUUUAAACGCGCAAAUUCAUUAUACUAAGGGGUGAUGCCUGUGUAACGAAAUAUGUGAAAUUUACACCCGAAAUUUUCAUCCACAUACUAAAGUAAAACCUAGUCCUAGAACGUUUCGAUCCUUAUAUUUGCCCAGUGAGCUCCAUAUAUAUAUCUGGAGUAGGAACUUGGUUGCUCAAAGUGAAGCCAGUUUCGUGUUAACCGCGCAGACAAAAACAAUAGAAAGGGACUGUAACUGACGUCCAAGAGCUCCUUCAAUUUUCGCAAUCUUGGCAAGGAGUGUGUUGAAAUUUCGUAUUUUGACUUCGAUUUAAAGAAUAAUAUUGUGAUUUUACGAACUGAAAACUUGAUUAGUGAUACGAUUCAUUAGAAAAAACUGGAAUUAGCUGGGAAAAUGGUAUAAAAACUGUUUGCGACCUUCAGAGCUAUUGGACGUCAAUGGCCGCCAUCUUGGCUUCACCUCUCUCAUAGGCCGAAUGACUGAAGUUCUUACUCCAGAUAUAUAUAGAGCUCACUGUAUUUGCCCAUUUUGUCUUUCAAUUGAUGACUUGUAAAUCAACUUCCAACGUUGUCUUGACGUAAUUACGACAAAUGAUUGUUGUUGACGAAAUCCACAUAUGUUAACUGUCGAUAGUUUUGGUCAACGUUUACUUGAGCAUUUUUUAUUUUAAUAUAUUGAAAUAUAUUUAUACCGAUAGUUUAUUAAAAUAUAUUUAUAGAUAUUAUUAAAAUAUUAAACCGAUAGUUUCAGAAAACAUAAAACUAGUGUUAUUCUGAAAAAGUGUGCAUUUUAACAACACAUCUAUUUUAAAAAAAUAUUUUGAAUCCAUUCCAAUUCAUCUUCAGCAGAAAAUUAACAAGAUACGGCGUAUAUAUAAUGCACACUUUCGAAAUAACAUUAGUUUUGAAUUGAAAACACCCCAUAAUACGUCUUUUUUCAUGUCUUGUUGUGUGUAAGCACAAUGGUGUAUUCUCUGUAACUUUCACAAUUUGUUAUAUAUUAAUGCAAUAAUAUUUCUUUUCUUUGCUUAUUUAUUAUUGAGCUACACUUGUUUUACAUUGUUACUGAUAACAGAGUUCUUGCCAAACGAGAAUUAGAGUAGAUGAAAGUUUGCGUUCACGCAUUAUUACGGAGACAUUUCAAGCUCUUUCUAGCACUAUUUUGAACUUAAAUUUGUUGCGAAGGAUGUUUCAAUCUCUAGUUUGACAAAUAAAAAAUUUGAGUUUUUCCAACUAUUGUCAGUUUAACACUUCAUACUGAAUUUAUGUUUCAACUUAAAUAAAAUGCAUGACAGUGUUGGGAACAAUCUCGUACUAUGGGUACGCCGGAUUGUGUUGAGAAAACAAUAAAAGAUAAGAAAUGUUACUAAAGCCGGGUUUCCAAUAUGGUCGUAAAGAUUGAGUCACGAUCUUUCUCAUGAAAAGUGAUAAUAACUAGAGAAUACUCAUGAUUUAUAUGUGGUUUACAGAUAUAAACUAUUAUAAACUUGCUGUUGAGACAGAUCGUGACUCUAUUGUUACGACCAUAUGGAAACAAGGCUUAAGCAAGGUUGGUCACGUGACUAGUGCCAACUCUCGUGCACUCUCAUCCUCGUUUGACCCAGCCUAAGAAAAAGUAAAACCUCCAUUACUCUUGUUAAAUUAAAAUGAUAACCAAGCUUGUAAAAAAAAAAAGAAAAAAUCUUCAAAUGUGAACAUAUAUUUUAAAAUUAUUUUGUUGAUAUUUUAUUGUUAAAUUGCUAUUGACUGUAUUACAAAGUAUGAUGAAAAAUUAGCACAAAGACAUACAUAAGGGUGUAAAGCAAAAUUUGUUGAAUAUCUUUGUAAUAGAAUUCAAAGGCACAUCUUGUAAAUAUUGUCAAAUUUAUCUUAUGUUUUUGUUAUCCUGUUAUUGGCAGUAAAAUUGAAUUAAAUAAAAAUACAUUCAAGUCAUUCAACG